AUACGGAGGGUGCAAGCGUUAUCCGGAUUUAUUGGGUUUAAAGGGUGCGUAGGCGGUUUGAUAAGUCAGCGGUGAAAUAUUUCAGCUUAACUGGAAGGGUGCCGUUGAUACUGUCGAGCUUGAAUUUAGUUGCUGUGGGUGGAAUGUGUGGUGUAGCGGUGAAAUGCAUAGAUAUCGCACAGAAUAUCGAUUGCGAAGGCAGCUCCCAAAGAUUAUAUUGACGCUGAUGCUCGAAAGUGCUGGGAACAAACAGUAUUAAAUGCCCUGGUAGGCCACAGUGUAGACGUUGAUAACCCGAUUUCGACGAUACAUUGUCGAUGGCCAAGCGCAAGCGAUAAGGUAUCCAGCUUGGGAGUAAGACCGUAAGGUUGAAGCUGAAAUGAAUUGAAGUGG
rnacentral:rRNA from 1 species